rnacentral:ncRNA from 2 species
AGCCGUUCGCGCGACUGGCGAGAAAGAGAUGGGCAACCAUCGGGGAACGCGAACCUUGUAGAGCCGCUCGCCUGGGCACCCAUC